AUAGCUGGUUCUCCCCGAAAUAGCUUUAGGGCUAGCGUCGGAAAGAACCUUAGUGAAGGUAGAGCACUGAAUGUGUGAUGGCCCCAUCCCGGGGUACUGAAUACAAUCAAACUGCGAAUGUCAUUAAGGAUGUCCGGCAGUCAGACUGUGAGUGAUAAGGUCCAUGGUCAAGAGGGAAACAGCCCAGACCGCCAGUUAAGGUCCCAAAAUACAGGCUAAGUGGAAAAGGAUGUGGGGAUGCCCAGACAACUAGGAGGUUGGCUCAGAAGCAGCCAUCCUUUAAAGAGUGCGUAACAGCUCACUAGUCGAGUGACCCUGCGCCGAAAAUGUACCGGGGCUAAGCCUGAUACCGAAACUGCGGAUUGUAGGAAACUAUAGUGGUAGGGGAGCGUUGUAUACGAGCAGAAGCCGUACCGUGAGGAGCGGUGGAUUGUAUAGAAGUGAGAAUGCCGGUGUGAGUAGCGAGAUGUAGGUGAGAAUCCUACACACCGAAAGCCCAAGGAUUCCAGGGGAAGGUUCGUCCGCCCUGGGUAAGUCGGGACCUAACGCGAGGCCGAAAGGCGUAGUGGAUGGAAAGCAGGCGAAAGAUUCCUGCACCCGUAUAUGGAGCGAAGGAGUGACGGAGACGGAUAGUGUGACCCUCUUAAUGGAUUGAGGGCGAAGCGAAGCGGCUGGUUACCAGGCAAAUCCGGUAACCAUAAGGCUAGAGCGUGACAGGUAAGCGAAAUCUUAGGAAAGUAGCGAAGCACAUGAUGACGGCUUCCAGGAAAAGCUUCUGGCAAUGCAUAUGCGGCCCGUACCAAAACCGACACAGGUGGGCAGGGAGAGAAUCCCGAGGUGAGCGAGAGAACUGUUGCCAAGGAACUCGGCAAAAUGACUCCGUAAGUUAGCGAGAAGGAGUGCUUAAGCAAUUAAGCCGCAGUGAAGAGGCCCAAGCGACUGUUUAACUAAAACACAGCUCUCUGCGAAGUCGCAAGACGAAGUAUAGGGGGUGACACCUGCCCGGUGCUGGAAGGUUAAGAGGAUCUGUUAAGAGCGAUCUGAAGCAGUGAUCCGAAGCCCCAGUGAACGGCGGCCGUAACUAUAACGGUCCUAAGGUAGCGAAAUUCCUUGUCAGGUAAGUUCUGACCCGCACGAAAGGUGUAACGAUUUGGGCGCUGUCUCGGCAGCAGACUCGGUGAAAUCUUAGUACCUGUGAAAAUGCAGGUUACCCGCAACUAGACGGAAAGACCCCAUGGAGCUUUACUGCAGCCUGAUAUUGAAUUCUGGUCAUACAUGUACAGGAUAGGUGGGAGACAAAGAGACGUGCACGCCAGUGUACGAGGAGUCGACGUUGGGAUACCACUCUUGUGUGACCGGGGUUCUAACCUGGUAUCGAGAACAGGUACGGGGAGAGUGUCAGGUGGGCAGUUUGACUGGGGCGGUCGCCUCCCAAAGAGUAACGGAGGCGCCCAAAGGUACGCUCAGAUUGGAUGGAAACCAAUCGUCGAGUGCAAUUGCAGAAGCGUGCUUGACUGUGAGACAGACAAGUCGAACAGGGACGAAAGUCGGGAAUAGUGAUCCGGCGGUGCCGAAUGGAAGGGCCGUCGCUCAACGGAUAAAAGCU
rnacentral:rRNA from 1 species